AUCAGCACAUUCUCCCAUCAAUGAUUUGAACACUUGAAUAAAUUCCUGCUAUACAACUAGUGGAUCUGUCAGCUUAUCACCUAAUUUAGUAUAUAUAGAACUAAUAUUAUUCUGGCUAGUUCUGAUCUUCCAUUGAGCAUGAAAUUACUUUGUAUUAGCAUCUCCACACUCAAUCCAGUUGGCUUUGGAUUUCUGCCUCAUAAUCUGCUC
rnacentral:lncRNA from 1 species